CGCUAAGGGGGGGGGAAUCCGGGACUAGGGGGAAAAUCGGCGUCCAUCCUUCCCACCCGGGGUUCGCUGCCGCCCCCGAACACCUCGGGCGUCGAGAGACGGGACUAAAGGCCGCGAUGGUCGCUGGUGCUCCCCUGCUCUGAGUCAGGGUCCUUACAACAGGGUUGGGUCCAAUCGAGCCGCCUCGAUGGAGUUGAGAGUCGGAAACCGGUACCGGCUUGGCCGAAAGAUCGGGAGCGGCUCAUUUGGGGACAUUUACCUCGGUACUGACAUAGCUGCUGGAGAAGAGGUUGCCAUCAAAUUGGAAUGUGUCAAAACCAAACAUCCUCAGCUCCACAUAGAGAGCAAAAUUUACAAAAUGAUGCAAGGUGGAGUGGGCAUUCCCACAAUCAAAUGGUGUGGUGCUGAAGGUGACUACAAUGUAAUGGUGAUGGAAUUGCUAGGACCAAGUCUUGAAGAUCUCUUUAACUUCUGCUCAAGGAAAUUCAGCCUCAAAACUGUUCUUCUACUUGCUGACCAAAUGAUAAGCCGAAUAGAAUAUAUUCAUUCAAAGAACUUCAUCCAUCGAGAUGUAAAGCCGGAUAAUUUCCUGAUGGGAUUAGGCAAGAAGGGCAACCUUGUCUACAUCAUAGAUUUUGGGCUGGCCAAGAAAUAUCGCGAUGCUCGUACUCACCAGCAUAUUCCUUACCGUGAAAAUAAAAACUUAACAGGAACUGCCCGCUAUGCCUCCAUUAAUACUCAUCUUGGAAUUGAACAAUCUCGCAGAGAUGACUUGGAGUCCUUGGGCUAUGUACUCAUGUAUUUUAACCUGGGCUCCCUCCCUUGGCAGGGAUUGAAGGCAGCUACAAAAAGACAGAAAUAUGAACGCAUCAGUGAAAAGAAAAUGUCUACUCCCAUUGAGGUUUUGUGUAAAGGAUACCCUUCCGAGUUUGCUACCUAUCUGAAUUUCUGCCGCUCGCUGCGUUUUGAUGACAAACCGGAUUAUUCAUAUCUAAGACAAUUAUUCAGAAAUCUCUUCCAUAGACAAGGCUUCUCCUAUGACUAUGUAUUUGAUUGGAACAUGCUCAAAUUUGGUGCAAGCCGAGCAGUAGAAGAUGCUGAGCGUGAAAGAAGAGAGAGAGAAGAAAGAAUGAGACACACACGCAAUCCAGCUGUUCGUGGAUUACCUUCCACUGCCUCUGGGAGGCUAAGGGGGACACAAGAUGUAGCUCCACCAACUCCUCUUACUCCAACGUCACAUACAGCAAAUACAUCUCCUCGACCAGUUUCUGGAAUGGAGCGAGAACGGAAAGUGAGUAUGCGAUUGCAUCGUGGGGCCCCUGUGAAUAUCUCCUCAUCUGAUUUAACAGGUCGACAAGAUACCUCACGCAUGUCAACCUCACAGCCAAGCUCCUGCAGACCUCGAAGGAAGAGGAAGAAAGUGCGCAUUUUAACCUCUUAAGUUACCGGAAAUAAAGCACUUUUGGACUCUUGAGGUGUAAUUAUUUGCUUUCCUUUUCAUCAAAAUCACUGAAGUCCAGCAAGCUAUAUUAUACAAAAUAUGUGUAAAUGUUUUUUUUUUAAUUGAAUUUAGAGAGCAUUAAAUUACAAGCCCAUCUUGCCUUAUCCCAGUAUUUCAUUCUCUUGGUAUAUGGUUGAUGUUUGCCUUGCACACUUGGGAGGCAUCAGCAGCCAAUUAUUUUUAAAGUGUCAUUUUAUUAAUAACUAUAAACUGAUAUGGAACAGAAAAGCUGCCAAUGACUGCAUAUCGUUAAUGGUUUAAAGGAGCUGUGAAUGAUUAGAUACCGGUCACCAAAGAUUUCAGAAUUUAAAUUUUAUGCAGAUAAAGGGAUAAUUUUCAGCCUGAACCCUUAGGUAGCAAUAGUUGAGUUCCAUAGAACAGUAUUCUUCAUAUUCGUAUUCUUCAUAUAAACAAAGACUAAAUUUUCCAUCUACAGUUUUGUGCAUUUUUCUAAUAAAAAAGACUGCCCCCUCUUCUAUAUCCUAUAUAAUAAUGCAACUAGCACACAAUUCUAUUACAUAGACAACUCUUUAAAGUGGUUUCUUAAUUCAUUAAAAGGAAAAUAAUUAGUCUGAAGUAAAUUUAUCGAUGGGCAUGAUAAUUUAAAUCAUUUUAAAUUCCUUUAGGUUGUGAAUAAUAUAAUAUCUUUUAUUUUCAUCCAAUUGUGUUUAGAAUUGUAAGAGAGGGCCUUUUUUGGAUCAGGAGCUUAAUGUUUCUUAAGAGAUCAAACCUUCUGUAACUCCAUGGCUGUUCUUGCCUCUUUUUUUUUUUUACUGGCCCCGAAAAAUUCCAAAAUCCACAUAUUUCAGAAGUAAAUUCUGAUUCAAUUAUGCAAAUGUGGGUCGCAAAAAUCCAGAUAACCACCCUAUGAAAGCAGAAAUAUGCCACCAUCUAAUAAUAAUCUGGAUUUUUACAACCCAAAUCCAAUAACUCUACAUGUGCUAAAUCGGUUAGAUCCCUUGAUUUGUGUUAGGCAACACUGAUUUUCUCUAAAUUUCAUACUCUAAUGCAAUUUGAAUUCUCAUUCUAAUGUAAUUGAAAUUCCUUUCCAAGAUGACUGUGAAAGGUCCAAUAAGCUUUUUUUCUAGUGAAAAGAAAUUAGAAUAGGUUUUACAAUAAAUAAAUUGAAAAGUUUCUUUUUUAACAUUCUCGCAAAGUUAGAAUUGCCAUCUUAAGAAGGGACUAAGAGUCCUAUGGUCACUUCCUAAGGGCUAUGUGACAUCAUUGGUUAGAAGUCCCUUCUCUUCCUGUUUCUUGUAUACCAAGAUGCACAGAACAAAGACAACAAGGAAGAAGCCUUGCAGACUAGAUAGAGAGGUUUUUUCCCUUUCUAAUGCUAAACUGGGAUCUAGUACAAUAUGCACAAGCUUUCACAUUAACCAACCCAUAUAGUCUUCCCUUCUGAAUGGCUAGCAAGUAUUUCCCUUAAGAAUUAAGUAAUUGCAGUUUGACAUCUGAUCCUUGCUAAGUAUAAUUUAUUUCAUAGAAGCCAUCUUUAAAUUGUAGUUAUGUUUUUUAAAUAUUGUUUUAUAACUUUAAAAUGUUAUAAGAUCUCGAGUAAAAUGGCCUUCUAUUUGGGCUUUCAGAAUUAAAAGAAAUAUUUGCCUUAUCUAUAAGCAAGCUAAUUAAGCUCUUGUAAUUUGCUAUUUGAUCUUCCACAUUCCUUGGGUCUGGUUUGCUAUAGAGAAGCAAAAAUUAUUAUCAGGGUUGACUCCUUCAAAUAGGUGAGCUUAGAUUGAGUUAAGUAGGGCUCCAAAUUUUGAGAGGGAAAAAAUCAAAUUAAAAAAAAAAUGGAAAUCUUUUUGUGGGGUGAGAUCACCAAUUACAUUGAUCACCUAAGAUACUAGAUGGAGGCAGUAUUCUAGGUUGCCACAAAUGGUACUUGCCAUGCUUCACUGUUGUCUUUUCUGGUAGGGUACCUGUAGCAUAAGAGCAAUGUCAUACUAAUCGGUAAGGGAGGAAGAUUAGAACAGCAAUCCCCAAUCUUUACAGCUUUGCGGCCUGGCAAGUGGGGAGAGGGGAACCAGCCUGCCACUUACACAAGCUGAGCUGCGUGCACGCCAACCAACUGCUCAUGCGGCCCGGUUCCAAUCGGAUCAUGGCCCUAUAGUGGGCCGCGACUUGGAGGUUUGGGACCCCUGGAUUAGAAUUAAGGCCAAGAACAGGCAGAGGACCAGGAACAAAACAGAUGGGCCCGGGUUAGAAUGGAAUACUUCAAAACUAUGGAUUCUCUUUCUACAUUGUGUUAGUAAAAUUAAAGUUUUUGUUCAAAUACAGUACUUUAAAUAUUUGGCCAAAUAAUUCUAAAGCAGACAUUUUUAUCAUCCUCAGAUUUCACUCUUAGAACAUGGCUUCAAAGAUCAUGGUCCUUGUGGAAGAUAAAACACACAGCCUGUGUGCUGUAUAUAUGUUGUGUAUGCUCACUGCCCACACUUCUGCGUGGAAAUCUUAACCUCUUCUGAAUGUUAAGGAUUCAGCACUAUUAAAUUAUGUCAAUUCUUACCUUAGCACCCUGAUUGAUAAUUCUGUCAGCAUUAAAUCCCAGUUCUGACUCCUUAUAGUCAACAUUAACUAUUUCCUUGGUGACCACUCUAGCAGGUAUACCAGGGGAUGGGGUGUGAGUGGAGCCUGCUGGGAGCUGAGAAUUUGAAGUUGCUGCAAAGAAAGAAGUGCAGGAAGAAGAGCAAAUGAGGCAAAAAGCAGAAGAUGGUGAAGAAAGAAGAGUUAACCCAGAGCAGAAACAUGGAUUAAAAGGGACAUUUUCCUUCUUAAAUGUUUGGAUGUUAUUGUGAAGUAUGAAAUAAAACUACUAAAACUUCUAGGUUCUGCAACCUGGCCAGAUUUUUAUUUUGGCCUCUGCUGAAACAUACAUGCAAUAUAAAUAGCAGAUGAAAGUAUUGCUACACCUACGUAGUGGCAUAUAAGAGAUAAACAAAGAUUUUAUGAGUAUUGUAGUCCAGCCAGAGUUCUUUACUUGUAACAGUACAAUCUAUCUUGUAAUGGAUAGAAACAGAGUCAGGAUGGAGACAAAUAGCAUUUAAGUGUCUUACUCUUGAUGAAAUCCUACUGAUGGAUAACAUUCAAAUAGAUCAGAGACCAGGACAGCUGAAGGAGCCAUUUCUAAAAUACCAGAGUUUUGCAGGAGAUAAUUGCAAUGUUUUGAAGAAUCUGUACACAAAGCCUUGAUAAUAUAUGCCUGUGUUCAUGGGCAAACAGCUAUCAGGAGUCAUUCAACUUCCACAAAUAUCUAGUAAUGUGUAGUGAGGCAAGACUUGUCAAUAUGGAGGACUUGGAUUAUGGGUUUGAGUGGGUUUUUAUAAGGGGGAGAAGUAUUAAUCAUGUGAGUCUGAAGAAGCCUGCAUACAUAGUUAUUACCUUGUUGAGAAAUAGAUCAGUUGGCUGGAUAAUUGAAGUUUUAGUCUUAAAAUACCUAGCGUUGCCAAAUACUGGUAAUUGAUGGCAAGAAUGAUUGUGCAGGAACCACAGGCACCAGCAUUGUCAUGUCAUGAGACUCAUCUAAGUAAGCAGCUUUAUUCUGAUCUCUCCCUCAAGGAUGGAAGCAUCGCAUGCUAACAUACAGGUUCCAGAUAUUCAUUGUUUUUCUUAAAUACUUUCAACAUUUUAGUUGAAUAUUUACAGAGUUACUUAUUUGAAAGUCUCCAAAAAGUUCAGUUUAUCCUGUUUUUUCUCAAUGAAAGUUGGCCUAGAUUUAGCUGAUGUGUCUUUGAUGUCCUUUAUUAUGAUGAUUCCUUUUCAUGAUAAUUUCAGAUAUAUAGCUUUUCCUCAGUAAUCUUCAAGCAUUGGUUCUGUAAGAAAUGUUUUUUGUCAGCAUGACAAAACAUAGGGACUGGGUUCAUAAAACUAAUUUGAAAAAUGCAAUUGCUGGUAGAUGGAUGUUCUUGUUGUCUUUUGCAGUGCCAUUUCUAGCUGGUAAGAAAUAUUAGUUUUUCAGUUUAGUCACCAUUUACAAGGUGAUUUUUUCCCCAGUGAAAACACUUAAGCUUGUUUUUUGUUUCUUGAUGGGCUGAACUUCAUAGCAGGUAUCUUUUAUAUAAUUUGAAUUUAGCAUUUUCUGCCUUAUGGGUGAUGUUUUAUAUUCUUAAACAUACCAUUCAGGUCUGUAGAACUGUAGAACAGACUGUUGAAAAUUUGGGUGUUUUUAUGAGAAGAGAAUGAGUUUAUUUAAGCUUCUUCUGCCACUAGGAAGAAGUGUUGGUUUAUGUGUACACAAAGAAGUACUGAGAGAAAAUGUAACUCCUGUUCAAAAAUGGACUUCUGUUCUAGUGAACGUAUUCAUCCAAAAGCCUCUGUUUGUAUCUGUGGUUACUAGUCUGAAGGCUCUAGAGCAGGGCUGUCCAAUCUUAGCAAGUAUAAGACUUAUGGACUUCAACUCCCAGAAUUCCCCAGACAGCCAUGGUGGCUCAGGAAUUCUGGGAGUUAAAGUCCACAAGUCUUAAGUUGCCAAAUUUGGAGACUCCUGCUGGAGACUGAGCUUCUACCUAAUGGAGUGUUAAUGAGAGAUGCAGGUUUCCUUGAUUUACUCAUGGGUUAAAUUUAUCACUGUAAUAAAGGAAAAUGUUUUUUUGAAUCAACGGCCAGCACAGACAAUAAAUCAUUAAUCUGAUGAUCCUUUUGAGCUAGGAGUCAUUCCAACAUUUCCAAAAUCCUGUUGAUUGUUCCUGCUGCUCAGAGCAGUCAUUCUUCACACAUCAGUUCUCAAAACACAUUCUCAAAGCAACCUCUCUGGUUAUCCGUUUGGUGACAGCUUUUAAUCUGUGAAGGCCAAUGUCUCUGAGGCUUCUGAAAGGAGCACUGCUCUAAACAAAGGGCAGCUCCACUUAGAAUCUUAGUUUGGAAUUAAUUUUGGGGCAGUGGAAUUGUUUCAAAUGGCUGUCUUUUCCCCCCCACCUCAGAAUAGCAUUCCUUUCGAACACCAUGGCAAGUAGCUGCUCGUCUUCUCGUUGGAAAGCAGCACUGGAUUCCUGCUCUGGCGACGACCAGCGUACUCCAAUCUGCUGUGCAUCGGUGAAAUAAUGAUGCCAUUGAGGGGCAGAUAAUGCAUGGCUGAUCUCCUAUGUUAUCAAUGGCUUUUACUAGCAAACUAUCCCAAACUAGAGCAGAAGAAAUAUUCCAGUUGGAACUCUCCUUGCCACUGUCUAAAGAUACUCACAGGAACAUGGACAGAAUCCAGCAGCUGCCACACUACAAGAGGCUUUAGCCCGAAACCCAAUAACCUUAUAUGAACUCUAGCAACAGGGCUAGAAAAGGAAGCGAUGGUAUACAGCAUUGCCAGCCUGUUAUUUAAUAGCCAUUUUAGUUGUCCCUCAGCAGGCGGCGGUCUUCUCAUCCUCCCCCCUUUUUAUUGUUCUACUGUAAUUAUAAAUCUUUUACUUGGUUUAAGAAAGUUUUGUAUUCAUUUUGCUAAGAUUAUUGGCUGAACUUCUCUAUUAAAAAAAAAAAAGUCUUGUCUCAUUCAAAACCCUGUGUGGAAAUGUGAAAAUUCUGAAGCUUGGUUUUAAAAAAACAAACAAACUCAAGACUUGAAACUUCUUGUAAGCUUGAGACAGGGAAUGUCUAACUGAAUUAGAGGUGUUUCCUUUUAUUUUACAUUAUUUACUUUUGUAUGGUCCCGUUCGACAGGACAAGGGGGAUUCUCAAGGGUUUUUAAUUUUUAGUUUUACUUAUGGCUGUCUUGUUCUUCCCGGGUUGUCGGGGGUUUUGUUUUUGUUUUUUUAGAAUUUAAACCUCCAUGUACCACCCACACUUUUUUAAAAAAUGUUGAUUUGUCUCUCAUAUUGUCAAGAAAGAGUGGGAGAUCUUUUGGAAGAAAAAGCUGUACCGAGUAGAGGUAAAAAUAACGCUUCAUAGAUUUUGAAAGACAAAAAGUGCGAAAAUAAUCUUUCAGGAAGUUUUUAAUGUUGGACGUAGAAUGUAUUACCUUUAUCCAUAAUAGAGAAGGGUUUGGAGAGGGGCAGGGUACCUUGUUUCUGCUGGGUUGUUCCUACAGAUGCCAAUUAAGCACUGCCACUGCCGUAGGAGCAGUGCAGUCGUGGGCAGGCCUCUUGAGCGCACAGAGGCAGGAAGUGCCGCCAGCCCAGCUGCAUUCCGCCAAGGCUCGGGAGUUAUAAGAAAUCUGUUCCUUCUGCAAGAUGUCAAGAGAACAUUCAAGCUUGUUGAAUUCUUUCAUUCUUUAUUAAAAUGUGCAAGCCUGGAACAGCUGGCCUUCAGCUGACGAUAUAUUUAUAUAGUGGCCAAAACACUUAGUGUGCCAGCUAAUAUACAUGAAGAAUCUUCGUUUUCAUGAGCAAUAUAUUUAUCCCUUAGUAAUCUGGGAAAGUAGAAGGCAUGUGAGUCAUACCAAAUACCACUCAAAGCACCAUCAGUCCCACUUCGGGGAUGAAAAUGCAAUAUGUAGGUGUGUUGUUACUAUUUUUUAAUAAAUGUGAGAUUCUUGCCUCCUUGAAAACUUGGUGGCGAGUAUAACUCCAUAAGAUUUUAUUUUCUUGUUACUUUGCAAGCAUUUUGUUUCAAAGCUUUGUCAGGUCAUCUUUUGUUUCCUCUCUUUUUUCACUUCUGUGGAUUUUGAACUAUGAACAAUCUUGUUACUUUUCUUUAGCUACUUUAGAACAUUAAUCUAUUGCUUAUUUGUAUGUUCACAGUCUGAUUUGAUGCAACCUAUGAUUGGGGGAGUGCAAUGGGAAUGUGUUUUAAUGUUGGUCCAUGGAAAAUUUUGAAUAAUUGUAUCACUGGUUGCUGUAGAUGUUGGUUCUUUGCGCAUGUGCACUUCCAUUUGUACAGUUCUACACUUCAGUGUGCUUUUUGUAAAUAUUUGUUGUCAAUGAUGUAAUGUUAGAGACUUUAAAAGGCAGCCUCUUCUUUCUAUAUAUCUGGAACCUUCAAUUGCUGUAUUAUACUUAAAAAGUUGACUGCAAACUUCUCAAAUUGUUCUUGAUUGUGGGCGGUCUCUGCCCUUCCAUUAUACUUAAAUCUCACCAUCAUCUGCUGAAAAUAUAGUUAGAAUGUCUCUAUAAACCUGUGUAUUGGUAACAAUAUCUCAGAACACCUCAUUUGUAUUACCACUGUAUUUGUGUACUUUAAUAACUAUGUAAAUAAAUUCAUAAGGACUUCUAAUUUU